rnacentral:pre_miRNA from 4 species
GGUUAGUGCACUUUGCGAAUUCGCAGGCCCUAUCCUGUGGUAUGAACUGAGUACGCGAUAAUUUAUGGUGCAUAUUAGGGGCUUACCAUAAGAUAAUGCCAUGAAUUCGCAAAGUGUUCAAACC